AUAUACGUGACCAAAGAGUACUAGAUUUUUUAUUAUCAAUUUUGCUUAAAAAUUCUCUGGUCCUACUAUCAAUAUUAUUAAUAACUGAGUUUUGACUUCCAUUAUUACUACCACGUUAAUUUGCAUUGCAGCGUACCUAUGUAUUAUUCGAUUUUCGUUUGAAUACAGAAUGUCGUUUACUUAAGUCUUCUGCAGCCCAAUUACCUUAAUAUUAGACUCUAAGGCCCGCGUUGUAAUUUUAAUUUAUGCCCAGUUUUUAAAUUACAUAGUACGGAAAAUAGGUUAUUGUAAUUGAGUUAUGGCAUCAAAACAUCGUGAAUGGGAUCCAGCUUGUAAAGUUUAUAUUGGAAAUUUAAAAAGUAAUGCUAGUAAAUACGAAUUGGAAGACUUAUUUACUAAGUAUGGACCUCUAAAAAAUAUUUGGAUUGCUCGAAAUCCACCUGGUUUUGCAUUUGUUGAAUAUGAAGAUCCUCGUGAUGCUGAAGAUGCUGUGCGAGGUUUGGAUGGAACUUAUCCCUGUCAGACUAAUAUUGAUGGUGAUUUCUAUAAUUCUGAGAAGAAAUGUGGGGAUUCAAGAAUUGUUGUUCAGAUGUCUACUGGAAAGCGUCGUGCAAAAGAUAAAUCACCAGACUAUCGGUUAUUUUUUGUAGAUUCAACUCUAAUGCUUUCUUCAUCAUCAUCACUUCUACAACCAACUUACAUCACAGUAUGACCAAUUUGAUCAAGGAACAAACAUUUGGGGGUGUGGUCUUCUUAUCCUCUUUCUAGCAAUAUUCAUUUCAUAUACGAAUAAAGUUUUGGCUCUAUUGUUCAUCAGUUGCAGUAUAAUUGAUGAAUUAGAAUCCGAAUUUCAUCUUUCUAACUACUGUACAAUACAAUUUGAACAAUCAUCCCAAUGCAUCAUUUUUACAUCAGUCAUCAUUUGGGUUUAGUUAAAUAAGACGAUCACCACCUCGGCGUUCUUAUCGAAUGAGAUCUCAGUCACGUUCAAGAAGUCGCUCUCCUUACAGACAUAGAAGAACACGUUCAAGAUCAUAUUCUAAUGGACGAUAUUAAUCUGAAUGAUACAUGAUAUGCUACUACAACAAUAUGAGCAGUAUAACUGAAAUUUUAUAUUCACAGGCUAAAUGUAUUAAUUAUAUUUUUAAAUAAAUAUUUUAUUAGAGUUAUACAAUUAUGCUUAUCAAAUCUUAUUUUUAAAAAUGAUUUGUUUAUAAUUGGUAUUUAAAUUUGUAAUUAAAUAAUUAGUUCAGCUAUGUUUAGUUAGUAGUGUAAUUUUCUUACUGUUUAAAUUUUUAAAUUAAUUAACUUCAUCUAAUGGAUAAUAUUAUUAAAUAUUAAUGAACUAAAAUUGUAACAAAUUAUAUUAGUGUAAGAAUUAUGAAUAGCAACUUAAUAUUACUAUCAAUGAAAAUAAUCAUUACGUACUGUGUAGAUUUAAUUACAAAAGUAAAUUAAUGUCCAUGAUGAACAAUGUUUUUUUUUAUGUUCUAUUAUGUAUAUUAUUUCUAUAUCCCUCAUAAAUUAUAACAAUAUUACUUAAAACAAUUGUAUUAUUUACAACUAUGUUUUUAUCAUAAUAAAGUUAAAUAAAUUGUGCUUUAUUUAUACAUAAA